AAUUAAGCAUAUCAAUAAGCGGAGGAAAAGAAACUAACAAGGAUUCCCCUAGUAACUGCGAGUGAAGCGGGAAAAGCUCAAAUUUAAAAUCUGGCAGUCUCUGGCUGUCCGAGUUGUAAUCUAGAGAAGUAAUGCCCGUGCUGGACCGUGUAUAAGUCUCCUGGGAUGGGGCGUCAUAGAGGGUGAGAAUCCCGUCUUUGACACGGACUACCAGUGCAUUGUGGUAUGCUCUCAAAGAGUCGAGUUGUUUGGGAAUGCAGCUCAAAAUGGGUGGUAAAUUCCAUCUAAAGCUAAAUAUUGGCGAGAGACCGAUAGCGAACAAGUACCGUGAGGGAAAGAUGAAAAGAACUUUGGAAAGAGAGUUAAACAGUACGUGAAAUUGCUGAAAGGGAAACGCUUGAAGUCAGUCGCGUUGGCCGGGAAUCAGCCUUGCUUCUGCAUGGUGUACUUUCUGGUUGACGGGUCAGCAUCAAUUUUGACCGCUGGAAAAAGGCCUGGGGAAUGUGGCAGCUUCGGCUGUGUUAUAGCCCCUAGUCGUAUACAGUGGUUGGGAUUGAGGAACUCAGCACGCCGCAAGGCCGGGUUUCGACCACGUUCGUGCUUAGGAUGCUGGCAUAAUGGCUUUAAGCGACCCGUCUUGAAACACGGACCAAGGAGUCUAACAUGCCUGCGAGUAUUUGGGUGGAAAACCCAAGUGCGUAAUGAAAGUGAAAGUUGAGAUCCCUGUCGUGGGGAGCAUCGACGCCCGGACCAGAACUUUUGGGACGGAUCCGCGGUGGAGCAUGUAUGUUGGGACCCGAAAGAUGGUGAACUAUGCCUGAAUAGGGUGAAGCCAGAGGAAACUCUGGUGGAGGCUCGUAGCGAUUCUGACGUGCAAAUCGAUCGUCAAAUUUGGGUAUAGGGGCGAAAGACUAAUCGAACCAUCUAGUAU
rnacentral:rRNA from 1 species